AUUUAUUUUUGCGGAGACGGCAAUUGCGCUUGGGCUUGAAUUCCAUUGUCGGCCCGAUACACCCAUAUAAAUUCUACCGCCCAGGGUUCAGCACGUGAAACUUGUAGAAGCUGCUGAUAGAUAAGAAGUAGGAUUAGGGUUAAGAGCUAGGGAUUUGAGUGAAGCUCUCUCGGUAUAAAUUUAAUAGUUGAAAAUGAUAUACGACGUGAAUUCUCCACUAUUCCGAUCCUUCCUCAGCCAGAAGGGCGGCUCCUCUGAUAAAAGGUUUUUACUGUUUUCUAUCGUAAUUGAAUUUUUUAUUUUUACUUCGUUUCUUGUUUUUUAAUAAUUGUAUUUCUAUCCGUUUGGAGAUUAUAUGCCAUGCUACUUGUGUGGAUUUUUUGUGGGUUGUCUGAGGUAUAUACAGGCACCUGGUAUAUUGUUGUUGCUAGGCACCAGAAAGAUUUUUUGUAAUUUCUGCCCUUUUUGUGUAAUACGUUGGUGUAUCAGCGCAGGAAAAUUAGUUUGCCCAGAAUGAAAUUUAUGGUUUAUUUUGUGCUAAGGUGGCUGCAUAAUGUUGAUGCGUGAUUUAGUUUUCUUCUUAGCUAGAAUAUAUCCUAAUCACGUACACUGGGUUAAGCUAGUUCGUAAAAAGAAUUACAUUUAUUAGCUAGAGAGAGAUUGUUGAGUUAAUUGUCACAGCUUGAGCUCAAAUCAAAGCUUCGCCGCAGCUCCAACUCAGAAAUGAGCCCAGCUGAUUUUAACUGCAACUCAACCAAAUUAAGAAGAAAAUAGAAUAUGGGGUGGGAGAAAUUAGAAAAUAAAAAGAACAAGAUAAGGAUAACUGUUGAAUCUCUUAACAAAAUCUUACUGAAAUGUCAGAUGAAAACUGAAAUGCAACCCGCCCCAUUUCUGUAUCUAUGUGUUUCUACAAAAUCGUGUUUUUAACUCCAGCAGUAAACCAAAAAGGUUCAACUAAGAUCGAAAGGUUGGAAUUCAAUUGGUUGCAAUAUUUUUUGGGAAAGAUAACCUUUAUUAGGAGUUUUUUCAUGUCAUUUAUUUUUGAAGUGUUUGAACAAGUUAUAAAAGGGCCUUAAGUUUGGCCCUAAUCUUUCAAUUAUUGUUCCAAUCGUGAAACGUCUAUUAAAAUGAUUAACAACGUGUUGAAAGUAUGUUUUCUUUCACUAGGUUCAUGUAUAUGGAUUUAUAUGUUUAGUGAAUUUGCUUGUAAGCUUUAAGCAACUCCACAAUGUGUGGUUUCUGUAUUUGGGUGUUAAGAGGAGUUGCAUGUCCCAUAUUGUAGCUAUGAGGUAUGGUGAUUUAGUUGCAAAUAUGAUCUUUUCAUUAUAUUCUUGAUAUGGCUCCUAUGAUUUUUGUUUGGCUUUGUAAAGUAAUGUAUUAUCGGGAAGGAAAAAUUGGCAGUUUUCUACUAGAUUCAGUGAUAUGAUCUCACAUCCCAUUGUUCGAAACUUACUUUGUCAAUUAAUUUCCUUAUUCCGCAUGUGGCUAAUGAGUGAAUUUGGGGCGCAUUUGAUUAUAAGCAUGAAAUUUGUAUGGAAAAAAAUAAAUUCUAGGUAAUUCAAUUGUCUAGAACUUAUUUGCAUGAAAUUGUCAAUUAAAUGUGUUUGAUUGGUUCAAUUUUCAACCUAGAAAAUAUUAUAUUUGUCCGUUUCUUAUUAGAGGGUAGAUGAGAGAGAGUGAAUUUCCUGGAAAAUAAAAUCCUACUCUCCCUAAAAAAAAAAAAUAUUUUCCUUGAUUUUGAGGAAAUAUGGCCACGUGACCAAAAGUAAGAAAAUGUUUUCCAUGGGAAAAAAUGACAAUCAAACAGCACAGAUGUAAGGAAAUUGUGUGAAAAAAAUGAAUUUUGUUUUAAUGGGGAUCAAUUCAAUAAAAGAAGUUAGGGUCGGUCAUGAAUUCAUUUUAUUUUACCCUAGACUUGCUAUGGAAAAUAUUGGUAAUCAAACGUACUCUUAUAGAAUAUGAAAAAAUUUACAGAAUAUGAAAACAGAUCUUCAAAUGUGUGGUUUAUGUCUACCUUUUUCCUAUUUCUUGACUCCCCUUUGAAUGGUUGAGAGCACUCAUAUUUUCUCAUGAGAUAUAGUGCCUUCUUUUGUUCUAGAAAGUUAUUUGAGAAGGAAAAAAGGUUUCUUGAUGCAACUUAACACUGUAAUUGUUUUCCUGACAUGCUUUUUUUAUUUGCUUGUGAAUCCAGGAAAACUGAAGAGCAGAAACCAAGGGAACAGAAGCCCAAAGCAAAUGAAAAUAAACCUGUUAUGACGGAAUGAUGGCUAGAUGAUGUGAGCUUUAAUUUGGGUGUGAUUUCUAGAAUGCAUUCAAUAAUGUCGCUAGGAUACUACUACUAGGAAUUGUUGUGUCAAUGCUAUGGCUGGAACCUUGAAUUUGUCGAAUUUAUCGGGUUACUAGCAUUUCUUGCAAACUGUUUGAAUUCAAAUAUCAUGAAUGAACUGAUGUAUUAGUCUUCAAAUAUAUGUUAUUGUUUGCUCUUAUUGAUUAUAGAAAUUAGAAACAUUAAAGUUCAUUUCACUUCAAACUGCAUUAAUCGAAUUUGCCAAUGGUAGGUAAAAUGUGAAAAAAGAUGACUUUUCCGAAAGGUGGGUGGGGUGGAAAGUUAUAAUUUCAUUUUAAAUUUUUCAUAUUUGGUUUAAUUUUUUAAUUAUUCUAUUGGGG
rnacentral:lncRNA from 1 species